GCAGUAGCCACGGGAAUACGAAGGGUGCAAGCGUUAAUCGGAAUUACUGGGCGUAAAGCGUGCGUAGGCGGUGAGUUAAGUCUGCUGUGAAAUCCCCGGGCUCAACCUGGGAAUGGCAGUGGAUACUGGCUCGCUAGAGUGUGUCAGAGGAUGGUGGAAUUCCCGGUGUAGCGGUGAAAUGCGUAGAGAUCGGGAGGAACAUCAGUGGCGAAGGCGGCCAACUGGGACAACACUGACGCUGAGGCACGAAAGCGUGGGGAGCAAACAGGAUUAGAUACCCCUGUAGUCCCUGUCUCUUAUAC
rnacentral:rRNA from 1 species